rnacentral:rRNA from 1 species
GACGAACGCUGGCGGCGCGCUUAACACAUGCAAGUCGAGCGAGAACCAUGGCUUCGGCCAUGGGGACAGCGGCGAACGGGUGAGUAACACGUGGGUAAUCUGCCCUCGGCACUGGGAUAGCCCGGGGAAACCCGGAUUAAUACCGGAUAGCCUUUCGAGCUCUUUGGCUCGUCAGAAAAGGUAGCUUCGGCCUCCGGCCGAGGAGGAGCCCGCGGCGGAUUAGCUUGUUGGUGAGGUAAAGGCUCACCAAGGCGACGAUCCGUAGCUGGUGUGAGAGCAUGACCAGCCACACUGGGACUGAGACACGGCCCAGACUCCUACGGGAGGCAGCAGUGGGGAAUCUUGCGCAAUGGGCGAAAGCCUGACGCAGCGACGCCGCGUGCGGGAAGAAGGCCUUCGGGUUGUAAACCGCUUUCAGGAGGGACGAAGCCACUCGGGUGAAUAGCCCAGAGGGUGACGGUACCUCCAGAAGAAGCCCCGGCUAACUACGUGCCAGCCGCCGCGGUAACAC